rnacentral:SRP_RNA from 1 species
GCUGGGCAUGGUGGUGUGUGCCUGUGGUCCCAGCUACUGAGGAGGCUGAGGCAGGAGGAUCACUUGAGCCCAGGAGUUGGAGGCUGCAGUGAGCUGUGACCAUGCCACUGCACUCCAGCCUGGGUGAUACAGUGAGAUCUUGUCUCAA